AACGAACUCUGGUAUUGAUUGGUGCUUGCAUCAUGAUUUACAUUUGAGUGAGUGGCGAACUGGUGAGUAACACGUGGGAAACCUGCCCAGAAGCGGGGGAUAACACCUGGAAACAGAUGCUAAUACCGCAUAACAACUUGGACCGCAUGGUCCGAGUUUGAAAGAUGGCUUCGGCUAUCACUUUUGGAUGGUCCCGCGGCGUAUUAGCUAGAUGGUGAGGUAACGGCUCACCAUGGCAAUGAUACGUAGCCGACCUGAGAGGGUAAUCGGCCACAUUGGGACUGAGACACGGCCCAAACUCCUACGGGAGGCAGCAGUAGGGAAUCUUCCACAAUGGACGAAAGUCUGAUGGAGCAACGCCGCGUGAGUGAAGAAGGGUUUCGGCUCGUAAAACUCUGUUGUUAAAGAAGAACAUAUCUGAGAGUAACUGUUCAGGUAUUGACGGUAUUUAACCAGAAAGCCACGGCUAACUACGUGCCAGCAGCCGCGGUAAUACGUAGGUGGCAAGCGUUGUCCGGAUUUAUUGGGCGUAAAGCGAGCGCAGGCGGUUUUUUAAGUCUGAUGUGAAAGCCUUCGGCUCAACCGAAGAAGUGCAUCGGAAACUGGGAAACUUGAGUGCAGAAGAGGACAGUGGAACUCCAUGUGUAGCGGUGAAAUGCGUAGAUAUAUGGAAGAACACCAGUGGCGAAGGCGGCUGUCUGGUCUGUAACUGACGCUGAGGCUCGAAAGUAUGGGUAGCAAACAGGAUUAGAUACCCUGGUAGUCCAUACCGUAAACGAUGAAUGCUAAGUGUUGG
rnacentral:rRNA from 2 species